UCCAGUUUCUUUGUGUUUUCAAAGCAACGCUUUGCACAAGGAUAGCGUCAAAGCUCUUUUUGUUUAUCACUUACCAGACUGCUCAAAGCCAUCUUGCCCCUACCUGGUACUUGUCCAUGAUUCACAGGUUUCAACUUUCAAUUCAUAUGUAUCACUGUUGGUUUUUAGUAGGAAACUCUAUAUCCCGUUCUGCUAGUUCCUCUGAUACUUUGACUUGAUACUUUGAGGAUUAUAUGCCCUCUAAUGUCUAGAUCCAUCCUUAUAAAGAAAAAAGUCUAAAUCCUUUAAUAUGUCAAAUUUCGUUGUGCUGAAGAUCUUGUAUGGUCUAGAACAUAUGUUUGUUUUUGAGUUUUUGGAUCUAUAUAGAUGUUACAGUAUAACGGGCUACGGGUUAUUUACUCUUUUGGCUAUUGAAGAUUGGUUUUUGAAGUCAUUAAGUAGCAAAUCCAAGUCUAUGAAUUAUGAUAUCACUCUCCCUGCUGUGAUUCACUAUAUAGGUAUCCCGAUUGAGUAAUAAGCGUGGUGAUGAGGUGUUUUGAUGAGAUAAUCUAAGUUCUUCAGUUGCUGAAAACCUUGUCAGGCGGUGUUUUGAUGGGUUGGGGUAUAUGGCAGUAACCUGCGUAUGCUGAAGCAAGUGAGGCUUGAGACUUGACCAAGCACGUUCAAGAUUGUUACAUGUUGAGCUCCUUUCUGUAUCUCUAAGUAAUGUGAAAUCAAUGAUCAUCAUCAUUACCAAUUUUAUAGAGAUCGCCAUAAAAUGUGUGGCGAUGGAAAUUCUUUUGAAAGUUUUCAUGAUCAGUGGGUUCAUUAUAUGCUAUUUACGCAUGGAACCUCCCCUGGUCUUGAUAUUGAUUUGCUUUACUGGCAUCUAUGGAAGAAUUUAAAUAAUUUGGUAGUAUCACAUGAUUAUGCAGCUGUUGGCUCUCAUGCUGUUUUGCUCAGACUUCGAUGGCAUCCCAUUUCAGGUCAAAUUUCUGCAAUGUUAAGGCCGGGAAAUUUGAAGUUGUGGUUUCAAUUCCUUUGAUAAGCACUUGGAUGCAUGCUAAGGAACUUACAAGAUAUACCUUAGCACAGUUUGCUUCCUAGUUGUGUCGUAUAUUCAGGUAGUUGGCUGAUGAUUUUCAAUUCUAGACAUGUCACAAGUUCGAGCAGAAGAACUAAAUCGCUGUCAAGUGUUUGAAGUUUUUACCUUAUUUGCUUCAAAUUGGGCAAAGAGGAUGUAUAAAAGAUUAAUGAGAUGGUCUUUACAUGAACUUUAAAGUUUGUUUUCUAGUACGUUUUGCUUUGCAGAACGUUAUUCGUUUAAGUGUAGUGGUGUAAUUAUUGUUUAAUUGUUUGAUUUGAUUCAUUGAUGGUGUUA